AUGGCAGAAGUUGGUGCUUGCAGUGUCUUUCAUAGAGAUGCUGUAUACCUAACCCUAGUGUCGGUAGGUAUUCAUCGCAGUGAUGUCUGUCUGCCGCAACACCAUCUUCAUUGCACUAUAUGUGGUUGUUUUUUGUUAUGUUUUUCCCACAUAGAGGAAUGGUGAAAUCAAGAAAACAUGCCGCCAUCUUUGCCAUUAUUGACCUUCAGUUGAGACUUGAGUUCACUUUACGGGCCCAAAAUUGUUAAAGCUCCCUGCAUGGCUGGGCCUGGUGAAUAUAGUCGGGAUGUUGCUUUAACUUGUGUGCAAAACUUCAAUUCUGACUUUUUCAGGCUUUGGAGUUAAGGAUUUUGUCCUGCGUUGUGCACAGGUCAAUGAAAGUGAUGUCCAUCCUGUAUUCUCAUGCUGGAGUC
rnacentral:telomerase_RNA from 1 species